rnacentral:lncRNA from 1 species
UUUUUUUUUUUUUUAAAGCCCGGCCUUUCCUAGGCGGGGUCAAGGGCCCCGCCCACCGAAGCCACGCCCAGUAGCCGCCCCGGGGCGGGGUUCCCCUCGGCUCCCGGCUGCCCUUUCCCCUCCGGCCUCUGCCGGUGCUGCUGCGCCCUGCGGAGCUCCGAACACGUGCGCGGAGUCCCAUAGAGCCUGACUCCGAGAGCCUCGAUCUCCCAGGGCCAGAGGCAGGGACUUUGGAAGAGAGGCUGGCUGUGGCAGAUGCAACUGCAGGAUGACUUGAAAGUAGGGCAUCCUUCACCCAUCUGAAGGGAGGAAAUAGUGGCAGGUGACAGUCUGCAUGUGCAGUUUUCAGAUGCCUUCACCUGAAUGACAUCUACCUCCAUCAGGACCCCAGAUGUCUGACAGCCCUGUGUGACACCAAGAUAAGUAACAAUCUGGCUGCUGACUACCCUAUUGGACAACUCCAAUAUUAGAGAACAUUUCCACCAAUUCAGAAAGUUUAUUAUGCACUGCUGUUCUAGAGCAGGGAUCAGCAAACUUGCUGUAAAGAGCCAGGAUCCCGUUGAAGAUACCACAUUACACUUAGGCUCCUGUUGGCCAUGACAGCUUCUUAGACUUGUUUUUAAUGACCUUGACAGUUUUGUUUUUUUGUUUGUUUGUUUUUGAGACGGAGUCUCUGUCAUCCAGGCUGGAGUGCAAUGUAAUGGCUCAAUCUCAGCUCACUGCAACCUCUGCCUCCCGGGUUCAAGUGAUUCUCCUGCCUCAGCCUCCCCAGUAGCUGGGAUUACAGGCAUGAGCCACCGUGCCCGGCUGCCUCCUAAAUUCUCAAAACAUUCCAUUUUUAUUCUGUGGUCUUACUUUAUUCUGUCAUGUAGAGAAUAGUGGUUGAGCCUGUUGUCUUUUGAGAGUGGAUGCUGUAGUCCUUACAUGGCUGACUUUCAGCCCGUAAGCUUAUAGUAGAGGAUGGGGAUUUUGUUAUCAGCUGCUAAAAGGGAGAAGC